UACAGAGGUCUCAAGCGUUGUUCGGAUUCAUUGGGCGUAAAGGGUGCGUAGGCGGCGCGGUAAGUCGGGUGUGAAAUCUCGGAGCUUAACUCCGAAACUGCAUUCGAUACUGCCGUGCUUGAGGACUGGAGAGGAGACUGGAAUUUACGGUGUAGCGGUGAAAUGCGCAGAUAUCAGGAGGAACACCGGUGGCGAAGGCGGAUCUCUGGGCCUUGCCUGACGCUGAGGCGCGAAAGCUAGGGGAGCGAACAGG
rnacentral:rRNA from 1 species